rnacentral:rRNA from 1 species
GUCGAGGGGCAGCAUUUUAGUUUGCUUGCAAACUGAAGAUGGCGACCGGCGCACGGGUGAGUAACACGUAUCCAACCUGCCGAUAACUCCGGAAUAGCCUUUCGAAAGAAAGAUUAAUACCGGAUAGCAUACGAGUAUCGCAUGAUAUUUUUAUUAAAGAAUUUCGGUUAUCGAUGGGGAUGCGUUCCAUUAGUUUGUUGGCGGGGUAACGGCCCACCAAGACUACGAUGGAUAGGGGUUCUGAGAGGAAGGUCCCCCACAUUGGAACUGAGACACGGUCCAAACUCCUACGGGAGGCAGCAGUGAGGAAUAUUGGUCAAUGGGCGAGAGCCUGAACCAGCCAAGUAGCGUGAAGGAUGAAGGCUCUAUGGGUCGUAAACUUCUUUUAUAUGGGAAUAAAGUUUUCCACGUGUGGAAUUUUGUAUGUACCAUAUGAAUAAGGAUCGGCUAACUCCGUGCCAGCAGCCGCGGUAAUACGGAGGAUCCGAGCGUUAUCCGGAUUUAUUGGGUUUAAAGGGAGCGUAGGUGGAUUGUUAAGUCAGUUGUGAAAGUUUGCGGCUCAACCGUAAAAUUGCAGUUGAAACUGGCAGUCUUGAGUACAGUAGAGGUGGGCGGAAUUCGUGGUGUAGCGGUGAAAUGCUUAGAUAUCACGAAGAACUCCGAUUGCGAAGGCAGCUCACUAGACUGUCACUGACACUGAUGCUCGA